AUAAGGAGUUACUAUCCAGAAUAUAUAACUAAACCACAACCAAAAACCCAACCUGAUUAAAAAAUGGGCAAAGGAUUUGACUAAACAUUUCUCUAAAGAAGAUACACAAAUGGUCAAUAAGCACAUGAAAGGAUGCUCAACAUCACUAAUCAUUAGAGAGAUGCAAAUCAAAACCACACUAAGAUACCACCUCACACACAUUAGAAUAGUGACUGUCAAAAAAUUCCAGAAAAUAACAAGUGCUGGUGAGGAUGUGGAGAGAAUUUGCCCUGUUGGUGGAAAUGUAAAAUGAUGAAGCUGCUAUAGAAAACAAUAUACUGGUUCCUCAGAAAAUUUAACAGGAAUUAUCAUGUGAUCAGUAAUUCUACUUCUGGGUAUAUACACAAAAGAAUUGAAAGCAGGGUCUUGCACAUAUAUCUGUACAUCCAUAUUCACAGCAGCAUGAUUCUCGGUAGCCAAAAAGUGGAAGCAACUCAAGUGUCCAUUGACAGAUGAAUGCAUAAGCAACAUGUGGUAUAUAUACAUACAAUGGAACAUGAGUUAGUCUUAAAAAGGAAGGCGAUUCUGAUACAUGCUACAACAUGGAUGAACCUUGAGGGCAUUCGCCAAGUGAAAUAAGGCAGUCACAAAAGGAAAAAUACUGUAUAAUUCCUCAUAUUCCACUUAUAUGAGGCAUCUCGAGUCGUCAAAUUUAUAGACAGAAAAUGAAUGGUAGUUGCCAGGAGCUGAGGAUAGGGAGAAAUGGGAAGGUGUUUAAUGGAUACAGUUUCAGUUUUGCAAGAUGAAAGGAGUUCUAAGGUAGUGGUGACGUUUGCACGACAUUGUGAACAUAAUACCACUAAACUGUAUAUUUAAAAUGGUUAAGAUGAUAAAUUUUGUUGUGUGUAUUUUAUCCCAAUCUAAAAAAGUAUCAGUUCCUUCUCUAUUAAUUUCUAUGAUGAAACCUCUCAGAGCCCGGAAUGGCCCCUUGCAUCUAGCAUGCAUCAAUAAAUGCGUAAGCGGACGGAUGACCAGAUCCAGAGUUGGAAGUUACCUUUGGUGAAACCCUCUACCCAGCCUGAAUCCUUCCAGGUUGUAGGACACUCACUACCUCUCAAAGCAUGUCAUUUCUUCUUCAUUAGAAAAUUCUUCUUCAUGCCACCUUUAAGCUGAAAUAUGACUUCCCUGUAAUAUUUCCCCUUCCUCGGUGAUCAUAGCUCUGCCUUCCAGGCCCAGAAAGAACAGGUCAAAUUUCUACCUCAUCUGACCACCUUCAUGCAAUAAAAGACAGAGCUCUGUGCACUUGGAGAGUUAAAGCCUCACCCCAAAUGCAUCUUCCCGGCAGAGAGACAGUCCUUUUGCAGUUAAAUCACACUGAAAAUCCUCAAGAGGAAUAUCUGUUUCUGGUUCAUUCCAGAGAUGCACUAAAUGGCAAGAACAUGGAGGCAACACAUGGACCCGAUGGAGUCUCCUUGUGGGAGGGGACUCCCAUCUUUGAAGAACAAGAACUAUUUAUCUAGGAAUAGAGAAAUCUCUGAGUGAGACACCACCUGUCUUGAAGAUGAUUCUAUGGCAGAGGAAGCCUUGUUUUGGGUCUAAGUCCAUAGUAUAUACGUUACAGCAAAGCAGAUUUCAACUCAAUUAUUUAAAAAAGACUGUAGAACUGCAAGUGCAUAAAAACUCAUAGAAUAGUAGUAACUGUAGGAAUCAUUACUAUUAGGCCCCAGCUUGAACUUCAUUGCCCCUUUGAAUUCAGGAAAUAAAUAAGCACAUGUACACAUACGCACACCCCAUAUGUCACACCAGGCAUUGUGGCGCCAUCCAUGACUGACACUAAACAUUCUAGAAGUAUUUCUGUUUUCAUGCAGAUACACACAGCACAGCUAGUUUCAAAAUUAAACCACAAUGAAAACUGUCACUACUGACAAGGAACUAUGCAAAGACCUUCGGUCUCAGGCCCUUGCUCACUCAGGAGUACCUUGAGACCUGUUUCUUCCUGUUCAGCUGCAGUCACGGUUCUAACCUGGUUCUUCUCACGGCUGGUAUCCUCUGACCUUUUAUGUCUUGGCAAUGACUUCCAUGCAUUUUGGCAGUGACUGCCUGAAUCUCUGAUUCAACCCUGAUCGCAGCCUCUCGGGCUUUCUCGCUCCUUUAAUUCUUUCCGCGGAUGGCCACGGCUUUUGCCGCCUGUACCCUUCCUGGAGCAACCCGUGCUUUUGAAAAAUGACCAUGCCGAAGGGGAACUAACACUCCCAGCCUGGUGCGGGUCUUGUCAAUCUGAUUUUUAAAUGAUGGAGGAGGAGGUUUGAGGACAAAGCUCAUGGUGGCAUUACCACUAUCAGGGACGCUGCAAAGAUCAAGUGAAAAGGGGAAAAGGCUCUUCUCAAUGUGAGCACAUUCACAGGCUCUGAGAACAGAGAGGUAUUUAAAGUGAACUGGAACAAACCUGCAACAUCCGGUGCGUUCUGCCUUCAAAAAUAGCUGCCAGUUAGAAAGGGUUAUUUACAUAUUGAUUUCAUGCUAACUUUGUAAUGGAAUGUGCUGCCUGCCUGCCUGCCUGAGACCUAACAACUGUCAUCAUAAUUUUUUCUAAAAAUACAGUCAGAGAAAAACACUCAUUGAACCCUCCACUGGAAAGUAGCUGCAAAAGACCCCCUGAUCCCAAACCUGCUUGACAGACCACAGCCAAGGGCAGGGACACUCAACAACUGUAAACGAGGAACAUUUCACAGCGGCAGCUGGCCCCUCUCUUCUUCCAACCAGCCAAUAUUUUUUGUCUUUCUAGAAAACCUGUCUUGUUCAAAGGCUGGAACUUACCAUUGGCUGUCCUGGUCCUCAGGCCUUCGGAGUCAGACUGGAACUACACCAUCGGCUUUCCAGGGUCCCCAGCUUGCCAACUGCAGACCUUGGAAUCAGCCUCAUAAUUGCAAAA
rnacentral:lncRNA from 10 species